AGAGUUUGAUCAUGGCUCAGAUUGAACGCUGGCGGCAGGCCUAACACAUGCAAGUCGAACGGUAACAGGAAGCAGCUUGCUGCUUCGCUGACGAGUGGCGGACGGGUGAGUAAUGUCUGGGAAGCUGCCUGAUGGAGGGGGAUAACUACUGGAAACGGUAGCUAAUACCGCAUAAUGUCGCAAGACCAAAGAGGGGGACCUUCGGGCCUCUUGCCAUCGGAUGUGCCCAGAUGGGAUUAGCUUGUUGGUGGGGUAACGGCUCACCAAGGCGACGAUCCCUAGCUGGUCUGAGAGGAUGACCAGCCACACUGGAACUGAGACACGGUCCAGACUCCUACGGGAGGCAGCAGUGGGGAAUAUUGCACAAUGGGCGCAAGCCUGAUGCAGCCAUGCCGCGUGUAUGAAGAAGGCCUUCGGGUUGUAAAGUACUUUCAGCGGGGAGGAAGGGAGUAAAGUUAAUACCUUUGCUCAUUGACGUUACCCGCAGAAGAAGCACCGGCUAACUCCGUGCCAGCAGCCGCGGUAAUACGGAGGGUGCAAGCGUUAAUCGGAAUUACUGGGCGUAAAGCGCACGCAGGCGGUUUGUUAAGUCAGAUGUGAAAUCCCCGGGCUCAACCUGGGAACUGCAUCUGAUACUGGCAAGCUUGAGUCUCGUAGAGGGGGGUAGAAUUCCAGGUGUAGCGGUGAAAUGCGUAGAGAUCUGGAGGAAUACCGGUGGCGAAGGCGGCCCCCUGGACGAAGACUGACGCUCAGGUGCGAAAGCGUGGGGAGCAGACAGGAUUAGAUACCCUGGUAGUCCACGCCGUAAACGAUGUCGACUUGGAGGUUGUGCCCUUGAGGCGUGGCUUCCGGAGCUAACGCGUUAAGUCGACCGCCUGGGGAGUACGGCCGCAAGGUUAAAACUCAAAUGAAUUGACGGGGGCCCGCACAAGCGGUGGAGCAUGUGGUUUAAUUCGAUGCAACGCGAAGAACCUUACCUGGUCUUGACAUCCACGGAAGUUUUCAGAGAUGAGAAUGUGCCUUCGGGAACCGUGAGACAGGUGCUGCAUGGCUGUCGUCAGCUCGUGUUGUGAAAUGUUGGGUUAAGUCCCGCAACGAGCGCAACCCUUAUCCUUUGUUGCCAGCGGUCCGGCCGGGAACUCAAAGGAGACUGCCAGUGAUAAACUGGAGGAAGGUGGGGAUGACGUCAAGUCAUCAUGGCCCUUACGACCAGGGCUACACGCGUGCUACAAUGGCGCAUACAAAGAGAAGCGACCUCGCGAGAGCAAGCGGACCUCAUAAAGUGCGUCGUAGUCCGGAUUGGAGUCUGCAACUCGACUCCAUGAAGUCGGAAUCGCUAGUAAUCGUGGAUCAGAAUGCCACGGUGAAUACGUUCCCGGGCCUUGUACACACCGCCCGUCACACCAUGGGAGUGGGUUGCAAAAGAAGUAGGUAGCUUAACCUUCGGGAGGGCGCUUACCACUUUGUGAUUCAUGACUGGGGUGAAGUCGAAACAAGGUAACCGUAGGGGAACCUGCGGUUG
rnacentral:rRNA from 1 species